AAGAAUGCUGCUAGCACUCCCCGAUAAUGAAACUGGAAGAAUGUUGUUGAUGGCCCACCAACGCGUGGGUUCGCAACAGUUUUCGAGGGUAGAGUAUUCGACCCAAUUUGUUGAUAAGCCACACGAGGUGAGAGGAUACUCUCAAGUAUUAGCAGCUGAAUUUGUCAGAUUCAACCACACCUGAAAGAUUAGUAUCUGCAAGCACAGUAGUAACAGUAAAGUUACGAGUAACGGCAGUGUAACGAGCAAUAGCAGUGGCAA
rnacentral:lncRNA from 1 species